rnacentral:rRNA from 1 species
GUCUAUGGCCGCGCUACCCUGAAAAAACCUGAUCCUAUCUGAUCUUGGAAGCUAAGCAGAGUCGGACCUGGUUAGUACUUGGAUGAGAGACCGUCUAGGAAGACCAGGUGCUGUAGGUG